rnacentral:lncRNA from 1 species
UAUACGCCUGGUCUGUUGGCGUGCUCGGAAAAACGUAGUAAUCCGGGGCGUGACAUUUAAAUAGUAAUUUUAAGUUUGAAUUUAAAUAAAUUGAAAUUUAGUUUUAUAUUUUGAAUUAUCCACUCAACUUUAAAGUUUAAUUUUUUAAAAAAAAAAUAGAUUUAAAAUUUUGACAUUAUUUCAAAAUUUUGAUGUAAAUUUUUAAUAUUUAAUUUUUAAUUUGAAUUUAAGUUAAUAUAUUAUAAAGAUAAAAUUAGUAUAUUGAUCUGAUUACGUUUUUUAUAUUUAUCUGAACCAAACACCGAUAAUGGGAAUGAUUUAUUCCGAUUCCGAUUCAGGUGAUGAGCCAAACAGAAUUAGGUAAUUAGUCAUUCCGAUUCCGAUUCCAACUUAUUUCGAUUCCAAUUCUAAUUCCGAUUCCGACUUCGAACCAAACACGCCCUAGAUGCUUACAUGUUGGGCCUGUGGGCCAAAUCAAAAAAUUAUUACGCGGUGUUUAAUGAUGUAACAAUAAUGUGAUAGCUAAUAUUUUAGUCACUAUUUUUUUUUCAUAAAAUGAUAAAGUACUCUACGCUCACAAAGUAUUUCACUUAUGAGAUUAUUUAUUUUAUUCCAAAAAAAUUAAAGAUAAAAUAUACAAUAUCUUUUUAGACACUCCAUCCCGGUCCUUGUCUAUCAAUUACUCAAAACUUUAUCUUCUUAUCCAUCAAUUACUCUAAGAGCGCAUUUGGUUUGAGUUAUGUAAUAUUUCAAAGUAUUUCAAUAUAUCUAGGUAUCUUGAAUUUUUAAAUAAGAUUACUACUGAUACUAUAUUAGUGUGUAUGAUUUAAUACAAUAAUAUAAGGGCUUUUUUUGCAAAUAGCCCCCUAACAAAUUUUAUUUGCAAAAAUAGCCCUCUGUAAAAUUUAUUUGCAAAAAUGGCCCUACCCCUGCCACGUCAGCGCCACGUCAGCGCCAUGUGGGAGGGCCAGGUGUUCAACUUGAACACGGUGAUUCGUUCACCGUGUCUAAACACGGUGAACCAAUCACCGUGUUCAAUAGGAACCCAUAUAUCUAUUGAAAACGGUGAAC